AAUGAACGCUGGCGGCAGGCCUAACACAUGCAAGUCGAACGGAUCCUUCGGGAUUAGUGGCGGACGGGUGAGUAACGCGUGGGAACAUACCCUUUGGUACGGAAUAGCCUCGGGAAACUGGGAGUAAUACCGUAUGUGGUCGAGAGACGAAAGAUUUAUCGCCAAAGGAUUGGCCCGCGUUGGAUUAGGUAGUUGGUGGGGUAAUGGCCUACCAAGCCGACGAUCCAUAGCUGGUUUGAGAGGAUGAUCAGCCACACUGGGACUGAGACACGGCCCAGACUCCUACGGGAGGAGGCAGUGGGGAAUCUUAGACAACGGGGGAAACCCUGAUCUAGCCAUGCCGCGUGAUCGAUGAAGGCCUUAGGGUUGUAAAGAUCUUUCAGGUGGGAAGAUAAUGACUGUACCACCAGAAGAAGCCCCGGCUAACUCCGUGCCAGCCGCCGCCGUAAUAC
rnacentral:rRNA from 1 species